GUAGAGAUAGCUCAAAUGGCGAGAGCGCCUGGUUGAAGCCCAGGAGAUCCCGGUUCAAUUCCGGUUCUCUACACCA
rnacentral:tRNA from 1 species